UACAGAGGGGGCAAGCGUUGUUCGGAAUUACUGGGCGUAAAGGGCGCGUAGGCGGCCCUCUAAGUCAGACGUGAAAUCCCUCGGCUCAACCGGGGAACUGCGUCUGAGACUGGAAGGCUUGAAUUCGGGAGAGGGAUGUGGAAUUCCAGGUGUAGCGGUGAAAUGCGUAGAUAUCUGGAGGAACACCGGUGGCGAAGGCGGCAUCCUGGACCGAUAUUGACGCUGAGGCGCGAAAGCUAGGGGAGCAAACGGG
rnacentral:rRNA from 1 species